AUUGCAUGAGACACGGCCGGGACCCACAUUUGUGGACCUCGAGGGAUGCCUAACACCUUCCCCUCGAGGUAAUUUGAACCCUUACCCUGAUCUCUGGUUCGUUGACCUUAGUUAGACUUAGUUAGGUUAGAUAGGUGCCCUAACGCGCCUUAAUUCGUUAGGUGGCGACUC